CGACCGAAAGACAGCUACCCUGGCCGGAAGACACGUAACCCUGAAGAUCGAGAAAGAGGCCAUCCAGUCCCUUCCAAUCCUGAAGAGAUGAACUGAGAGACUAGAACCCUUUACAGGUAUGAAUGGGAAACAAUUGCCAUCUAUUGUCUGUAAGGGCAGCCACCUAUGAGACUUUAUCUACAUAAUAAGAACCUUGGUUUUCAUCACCCCUUAUCUUCCUCCAGACACUCCUUUCUAUUGAUUCCAGGUUUUUAGAUAAUAACUUAACUCUUUCAAUAAAUUGCCAAUCAGAAAA